rnacentral:tRNA from 1 species
ACCUGGGUGGCUCAGUCGGUUAAGCAUCCAACUUUGGCUCGGGUCAUGAUCUCACAGUUCGUGGGUUCGAGCCCCACCUCAGGCU